rnacentral:rRNA from 1 species
AUUGAACGCUGGCGGAAUGCUUUACACAUGCAAGUCGAGCGGCAGCGCGGGGCAACCUGGCGGCGAGCGGCGAACGGGUGAGUAAUGCAUCGGAACAUGUCCAUGGAUGGGGGAUAGCCCGGCGAAAGCCGGAUUAAUACCGCAUGAGCCCGAGAGGGGAAAGUGGGGGACCGCAGGGCCUCACGUCGAUGGGUUGGCCGAUGCCCGAUUAGCUAGUUGGUGAGGUAAUGGCUCACCAAGGCGAUGAUCGGUAGCUGGUCUGAGAGGAUGAUCAGCCACACUGGGACUGAGACACGGCCCAGACUCCUACGGGAGGCAGCAGUGGGGAAUUUUGGACAAUGGGGGCAACCCUGAUCCAGCCAUUCCGCGUGAGUGAAGAAGGCCUUCGGGUUGUAAAGCUCUUUUGUCCGGAGCGAAACGGGGCGCGUGAAUAUCGCGCUCUACUGACGGUACCGGAAGAAUAAGCACCGGCUAACUACGUGCCAGCAGCCGCCGUAA